UGCAGGCCAAAGAUCCAUACGAGCGUCCUGUUUUCCAUGUUCGUUUGUUGGAGAACAUACCUGUGAAAGGGGAUGGUGAUGAUGAUUUACAGACAAGUACUUCAAAAGGACCUUGGUAUGAUGAAGACAAUGCAGCCCAUUUGCCAUCAGAGAAUAGCAGCAAUGGUGAUGCUGCGAAUGAAUUUGAACCUGGCUCUAAGCUCGAGGACCUCAAUUUGGAUGUUAGAAAGAACUCCAAAUGACGUGCAGGGAAGAU